CUAUGGAGUACACAUCACUUUUUAGGUCAGUACAAGUCUUAAUAAUGUAGUAAUUUAAUUACAAUAUAUGGUUAAGCAAAAAUCCUAUCUUUCCCAAGGCAACGAGUAAUUCGUAUGCUGAAUGAUAGGCGAGUUUAUGGGGUAUUUUGACCAAUACUAUCUUGUAUCUAGUUUUGAGAGUUUUAUUCUCUCUAUAUAGUUCUUUGAAAACUGAAUAGCAGACAUUUAUGUAAUAAUGUUGAACAUCUUUUUAAGAUAUUUAAUGUAAUUACAUCGUCAUGUUUACUUUUGCUUAUUUUAAGCUUAAGUAAAUAUAACAAAAACCAAUAAAACAACAAUAUUCAUGUAUUUAUAUAUGAAUAUAACAACAACAGAAUUCGUGUAUAUUAAUAUACUAGAAUUUGAUCUCAAUAAAAAAAUAAAAUUAAAACUUUUAAAGUUUUAACAAUUUUCGUUUUAAAUAAAAUAGAUAACCUUAAGAUAUAAAUCAUAGGUCUGACAUUAAGUCAGAUCGUUACAAA
rnacentral:misc_RNA from 1 species